rnacentral:rRNA from 1 species
UACAGAGGGGCAAGCGUUGUUCGGAAUUACUGGGCGUAAAGGGCGCGUAGGCGGCCUGUUAAGUCGAACGUGAAAUCCCCGGGCUCAACCCGGGAACUGCGUCCGAUACUGGCAGGCUUGAAUCCGGGAGAGGGAUGCGGAAUUCCAGGUGUAGCGGUGAAAUGCGCAGAUAUCGGGAAGAACACCCGUGGCGAAGGCGGCUCUCUGGGACGGUACUGACGCUGAGACGCGAAAGCGUGGGGAGCGAACAGG